GUAGUUUCCUUGCACUAGGCACGUUCAGCUUAAAAACAAAAAGUGCAAUCUAUUUUCAAUAGGAAUAGAUAAUGUUGUCCAAAAGCCUGAGGAUAACAGUUAAACUCAUUGAAAAUCACUAAAAAGCCCUUUAAAGGCUACUAUUUUCUUUAAUGACAUUUUUUCUUAGUGUUGGAUGCCCCCUACCACCAGACAAUUGGUAAUAGGAUUGCAACUGGUAUAGGGAAGGUGGAGGGACUGAGGAGAAAAGAGAAAUUGAAUUUAUGUGUCUCCUUCUUAGCACAGCCUCAAAUUUCUUUUUCAGAAAAUAACUUCUGCACAUGCAGCAUUAGGAAGCAGUGUUUCCCAACCACUACAUUUGAAUGAUUCAUUCCUCUGAGGACCCUCAAGUACUUCAGAAGAACUAAAAAAUGAAUAUCACGUUACACCAAAGAAGAAAUGAAAGCUGCCAGUGUCUUCUGAAGUUAAACAGGCUCCUGUUCUUUGACCCAGCAAUCCAAUCCUAGGUACUUACCCAAGAGAAACAAAAACAUGUAUUUACAAAAAGACUUGUAUAAAAUGUUCAAAGCAGCCUUAUUCAUAAUAGCCAAAAUCUGAAACAACCCAAACGUCCAUCAAUAGGAUAAUGAAUAAGCAAACUGAAAUAUAACCAUAUAAUGAAAUAGCACUCCAUCAAUAAAAAGGAAUGAACUUCUGAUACACAGAACAAUGUGAAUAAAUUUUAGGGACAUUAUGUUGAAUAAAAGAAAAGAUACAA
rnacentral:lncRNA from 10 species